AGAGUUUGAUCCUGGCUCAGAACGAACGCUGGCGGCAGGCUUAACACAUGCAAGUCGAACGCACCGCAAGGUGAGUGGCAGACGGGUGAGUAACGCGUGGGAACGUGCCCUUCAGUUCGGGAUAACCCAGGGAAACUUGGGCUAAUACCGGAUACGUGCGAGAGCAGAAAGAUUUAUCGCUGAAGGAUCGGCCCGCGUCUGAUUAGCUAGUUGGUAGGGUAAUGGCCUACCAAGGCGACGAUCAGUAGCUGGUCUGAGAGGAUGAUCAGCCACAUUGGGACUGAGACACGGCCCAAACUCCUACGGGAGGCAGCAGUGGGGAAUAUUGGACAAUGGGCGCAAGCCUGAUCCAGCCAUGCCGCGUGAGUGAUGAAGGCCUUAGGGUUGUAAAGCUCUUUCGGCGGGGACGAUAAUGACGGUACCCGCAGAAGAAGCCCCGGCUAACUUCGUGCCAGCAGCCGCGGUAAUACGAAGGGGGCUAGCGUUGCUCGGAAUCACUGGGCGUAAAGGGCGCGUAGGCGGCCAUUCAAGUCGGGGGUGAAAGCCUGUGGCUCAACCACAGAAUUGCCUUCGAUACUGUUUGGCUUGAGACCGGAAGAGGUAAGUGGAACUGCGAGUGUAGAGGUGAAAUUCGUAGAUAUUCGCAAGAACACCAGUGGCGAAGGCGGCUUACUGGUCCGGUUCUGNNGCUGAGGCGCGAAAGCGUGGGGAGCAAACAGGAUUAGAUACCCUAGUAGUCC
rnacentral:rRNA from 1 species